rnacentral:rRNA from 1 species
UUGAACGCUGGCGGCAGGCCUAACCCAUGCAAGUCGAGCGGAUGAAGGGAGCUUGCUCCUGGAUUCAGCGGCGGACGGGUGAGUAAUGCCUAGGAAUCUGCCUGGUAGUGGGGGAUAACGUCCGGAAACGGGCGCUAAUACCGCAUACGUCCUGAGGGAGAAAGUGGGGGAUCUUCGGACCUCACGCUAUCAGAUGAGCCUAGGUCGGAUUAGCUAGUUGGUGGGGUAAAGGCCUACCAAGGCGACGAUCCGUAACUGGUCUGAGAGGAUGAUCAGUCACACUGGAACUGAGACACGGUCCAGACUCCUACGGGAGGCAGCAGUGGGGAAUAUUGGACAAUGGGCGAAAGCCUGAUCCAGCCAUGCCGCGUGUGAAGAAGGUCUUCGGAUUGUAAAGCACUUUAAGUUGGGAGGAAGGGCAGUAAGUUAAUACCUUGCUGUUUUGACGUUACCAACAGAAUAAGCACCGGCUAACUUCGUG